AAUUUUAAUUAUAUAUUCACUGACACGUAUCAUGAUCUCGUGAGUUACUAACUUUCAAAACCGUACUUUAUAUAAUAAGAUUCAUGGACCGAUUGUUAGCCCAUGGUAUAAUUGUUACUAAACAAAAGACUUUAAUAAGUGUAAAAUUAAAAAUUUAUGAAAUCUAUCAAAGUUCUUAAAAGUUGUCAUGAAUAAGGGAUG
rnacentral:sRNA from 1 species